UCUUGUGAAUGAGCAAAGAAAGUGGCUUCUUGAGAUGGAAUCUACUCCUGGUGAAGAUACUAUGAA
rnacentral:pre_miRNA from 1 species